CAUCUCUACUCCUGAUGUCUCAGUUGGUAGUCUCCGUUCCAGGUUUAUUUUCGUCCCACCUUUUUUGUCCGGGUUUUUUUCGCUGGUUUCUUUUCGUCCUACUCCCACCUCUCCCGGUCCGAUCAGCGGUAAAAGAAAAGCGGACAACCAUGCGUAGCGAUGCCCCUUCGCACGAACAAAAAAUCGCACGAGAAAAAAACCAGACGAAUCUGCCUGGGAGCGAGGACCCUCGCCACAGCCGCCAUCGGGGAUCGUCGCUACGUCGACGGAAAUCACGCCCUAGCCGCCAAGGCAGAUCCUUUUGCCGGCGCCAAGGCCCUAGAGGAGGCGUCGGCGCCUUCGUUGAGGACCUUCCGGUCGCCGUCGGUUCACAACAGAAACCGUGUUCGUCACCGCACUCCUCCUCUCUCUCCAUCUCGCUAGCGGCAAUGGAGAUCAGCACCCUCCAGAUCUUCCUUCACCGAUCCUACAUGCACGACCUCCGCGACCACCCACCAGCGACGGUCUGAGGUCACCGACGCGGGCCGGUGGGCGACCCAACGAUUCGCCGCCGCCGUCAGGUUCGUCUCUCGGGCUGACAUACUGCGGAUCGGAACUCCGUUGAAUCCUCUGUCGUUGGCCCAUGCCACAGUCCUCUCCUUGUCCCUCCUACAAUUCAUGUACAUCUUCCCCCGAUUCACCAGGUCAGUCGCGAGGGACCUCUGAUCUGCAAGUUCCUGAUUUUCAGACGUUGUGUUGUGUGUUGUUCUCCUGGAGGUCCUUCUGGUUGGGUGUGCCAACCUUUUCUUGAUAGCAGUUGAGAUUUAUCCACCAAUCUUAAAAGUUUGGUGCCUAUAAAUCAGUUAGCUGAUUCCUUUCUUUUCAUUCUCUUUUGAUUUUCUGGUCUGAUUAUUCAAGCUGUUCUGAUGCUUCAUCACGACAUUCAAUAUUGCAGUGUGGCCAAUCCGUGGAGUGCUUGUAAGUGGAACGUUGGACACGUACAUGAUAUACACUGUCUAGCUAUGCGUAUGUGAAUUUCUUGAUGCAUUUGUUAGGAGCAAACAGUUUGAUAUUUUUUUCAUGUGCCACUGCGAAGUAGCAUUAGUAUCUCCCAAUGUCAAAUAUCUGACAUUAAAUGAUCUGCUAGCAUUUCUACCAUUACCAGUCUGAUGCAGUUUUCCGUGUUUUGUCAAGGUAAGUAGAUGAUAUAAGAAAGCGUUGACAUUCUUAAAGAGUGUCUUUCCUCUUUCAGGGGUUUGUUUACUUCAUCUAGGAUUUUCUUUUCUUCCCUUUCAAUAUUUUUAUUUAAUUAGUUUGUUUCCUCUCUUCCUAUACAACCCUUUUGUACAAUUUUGUUUUGUUGUUUCCUAUAUAGAUAAAAAAUAGCAGUGUGGAUUAUCUAGCUGUACAGCCUAAAAAGUCCAUAUCUGAGGGGUACAAUUUCCUAUUUGGGUCUAGAUAUAUUCUCCUUGAAAGAUAUAUACACCUCCCUACUGCUUUUGGAUUGGUAUUCUGCAGCCAUGAUAUUGUACCGAGCUGCGUGAUUGGACAAAUAAUCCUAUGCUAGCAAUUCAUAAUUUGAACUGCGAGUGGAUUUUCUUUAGUAGUGUUACAACGGUUAAAUUUCCUCCUAGAUAAUAUAUCUUUGCAGUUGCAACUACUCUCUCCUCCUUGAUGUGCCCUACAUCACCGCCAGCAGUGCAUCAGGCCGCUAUUGUGCAGUCCUGAUAUGAUUCACACCCACAUGGCUACACAUGAGAAAAUUGCAGAUCGGUUUUUAGAUUGACUGGUUGAAUGGGCAAAGAAUAUAAAAAUCUCAAAUCCAUUGAAGAUUGCAGACAUGGGUCACUUGUCAGUGAAGGCAAAUAGGUAUUGUCUGCAACGCAAAUGCCUGGGAAGGCACUGGAUGGUCGCUCGAACAGCGGUUGUUGUGAGAAAAUUACCCAGGUGCUUGAGGUUAGAAGUGUACAGAGGAGCUCUGGAACCUCCUGCAUAACAAGGUCACACGAUGUGUUGUGUUUACCCAUGAGAAUGAACCUUCUAAUGUACCCCUCACAACCGGAUGUUUCUUGAAAGCAGCCAUGUAUUGUUUUCAUGGAUGAAACUGAUGCCAUUGGUGGCCUAAGAUUCUGUAAGGGCACUAGAGCAGAUCGUGAAAUACAACAGAGUUGAUGGAUCUCCUUAAUCAAAUAGAUGGAUACACGAGCUCGGGAAGCUAUACGUCUGGUGUAUUUCCUCCCAAAUGAGACUCUGCGAACUUCUACAAGAUGGCUUCGAAACGCCUUUCAGAAGCAGGAUAUGAACACUAUGAGAUCAGUAGCUACUGCAAUUAUGUUUACGAGUGCAACCACAACACAACGUAUUGGGCAAACCGGCCAUUCUACGUGUUUGGUCUUGGAUCAGCAAGCUACAUCAACGGUGUCAGGUUCUCUAGGCCCAGAAGAAUGAAGGAGUACGUGCCAUAGAUCGAUUUCGUGGUGGAUACGGGAGGUGUGGUCCACUUCACCAUGCUGGAGCCUAAGGGCGCAAAGUCUAUCUCACGAACUAGCCGUGCAUCUUGCCCAACACCUUUCCAUCUCUGACAAUCACGAAGGCAGAACGACCUGGGCCGUAGAUUAUACGGUGAACGAGGGCGGCGGCAGCACUAGAGCGCGACAAGGCUGGUUGAGAACUCUACAUCUCGCUGGAGUGAACUUGUUUCCCAGACGUCUCAUGCCGAAGUCUGAGGCACUGGCGUACUUAGCCAUGCCGUUAAGAAGCCAAAUCCAUAGGUUGUGAGCGAGGUGUUCAUCCGCACUGUUGCCUGACUGUGAAGCUCUGCCACCAUGCGAAACCCUCUCAAGCCACUCAAUGUAUUCUUCUUUCUUCUGAUUGCAUGUUUUGUAUAUGUGGAUGCUUGUUUUUUUACGUGCGUGCGUGCGCGUGCCUGUGUGGUAGGUUUCAAGACUAUUAGAGUCCAUGUCGUUUUGGUACUUGUAUGUUCAAUGUAUAUAUACACAUAAAUCGUGUUUCUCUUGCUAGACCGUGAGAUUCUGGGAAUAAACAUAA